GAUGAACGCUGGCGGCGUGCCUAAUACAUGCAAGUCGAGCGAACAGACGAGGAGCUUGCUCCUCUGACGUUAGCGGCGGACGGGUGAGUAACACGUGGAUAACCUACCUAUAAGACUGGGAUAACUUCGGGAAACCGGAGCUAAUACCGGAUAAUAUAUUGAACCGCAUGGUUCAAUAGUGAAAGACGGUUUUGCUGUCACUUAUAGAUGGAUCCGCGCCGCAUUAGCUAGUUGGUAGGGUAACGGCUUACCAAGGCGACGAUGCGUAGCCGACCUGAGAGGGUGAUCGGCCACACGGGAACUGGGCCACGGUCCAGACUCCUACGGGAGGCAGCAGUAGGGAACCUUCGGCAAUGGGCGAAAGCCUGCCGGAGCAACGCGGCGUGAGUGAUGAAGGUCUUCGGAUCGUAAAACUCUGUGAUUAGGGAAGAACAAAUGUGUAGGUAAAUAUGCACGUCUUGACGGUACCUAAUCAGAAAGCCACGGCUAACUACGUG
rnacentral:rRNA from 1 species